UCUGCAUAUCAGUAAGCGGAGGACAGAGAAACUAUUCAGGAGUUCUCAUAGUAUCGGCGAGUGAUCGGAGAUUAGUCCAUCUCCGAAAACCUGCGUGCGUUUUACAUGUUAGUCAAUGUGGUGUUAUAGCUUGUGCCUGGGAUCGUGUACCUACCCGAAGUGUAAAUCCGAUUGUGGCUUUGGAUUCAUUCCAUAGCGGGUGAAAGUCCCGUGCGGGUAGGAUCUAUUUCAUAUUCACACGGUCCUCAGAUGUGCUUGCUUUCGAGUCGGAUUGCUUGAGAAUGCAGUCCAAAGUGGGUGGUAAACUCCAUCCAAGGCUAAAUACUGGCACGAGUCCGAUAGUAGACAAGUACCGAGAGGGAAAGUUGAAAAGUACUCUGAAGAGAGAGUAAAUAGUACGUGAAACCGAUUGCAGGGAAGCUGGCGGAGUCAAGCUUCGUGCUUGAGGCAUUGAUGCUGGCAGCAGGUGUGUGAUUUGUAUGUGAGGGUGGACAACUUGGAAUAAGUUGGGCGUGGUCUGAAUGCGCUUCAACUCAUUCCGGGGCGAGUGUUAUGACCCAGUCUCGCUUUACUACUCUCAGUGUUGUAUUCCUCGCUGCACAGGCCACAGUCUAUAUGUGCAUGCUGAAUGAAGCUCUAACUAUGCUUCGGCGCGUGCAAACUCUCCGGGUGUAAGAUGCCCAUGCGCUGUCUUCACGCCUCGUGUCUGACUGAUAGAUGCUCGUGAUUUUCAUCAGCUGGGCUUCAUAGUGUGUGCUGCAUAUCGUACUUUUAUCGUCGCACUUUCUUUCGAAUGUGCGCUGAUCAAGAACUGUGCCUCUGAGGUACACUGUCACAGCACCGCGAU
rnacentral:rRNA from 1 species